rnacentral:rRNA from 1 species
UACGGGGGGGGUAAGCGUUGUUCGGAAUUACUGGGCGUAAAGGGCUCGUAGGCGGCCAACUAAGUCAGACGUGAAAUCCCUCAGCUUAACUGGGGAACUGCGUCUGAUACUGGAUGGCUUGGAUUUGGGAGAGGGAUGCGGAAUUCCAGGUGUAGCGGUGAAAUGCGUAGAUAUCUGGAGGAACACCGGUGGCGAAGGCGGCAUCCUGGACCAAUAUUGACACUGAGGAGCGAAAGCCAGGGGAGCAAACGGG